UACGGAGGGUGCAAGCGUUGCUCGGAAUUAUUGGGCGUAAAGGGUAGGUAGGUGGUCUCAUUUGUCUGGGGUGAAAGCCUUGAGCUUAACUCGAGAAGUGCCCCAGAAACGGUGAGACUAGAGUCCUGGAGAGGGUCGUGGAAUUCCCGGUGUAGCGGUGAAAUGCGUAGAGAUCGGGAGGAACACCAGCGGCGAAAGCGGCGACCUGGACAGGUACUGACACUCAACUGCGAAAGCGUGGGGAGCAAACAGG
rnacentral:rRNA from 1 species